UUCUAUUUUACAGUUUUAAAUGCAGUAUGAUGCAUGAUGUUCUCAUUUCAUAGUUUCGUGUGCAUAAAUCACUGUUUUAUUGAUUAUGGGUUGAAUGACUGAGAACCCGAUGUUGUAUGUUGGCUUGUUUGGCAUGAAUUACUGGUUGCUUGUUUGUGUGUGAUUUGAUGAUGCUGACUGAGGAAAAGGGGAAUGAAAGGUUAUGUAAAUUGAUAAUUGUAUAAUGUGGUCAGCCUGACUAGAUAUCCUGAGAGAUGGUGGACGGACCGGGGGUCC
rnacentral:lncRNA from 1 species